rfam:Schistosoma curassoni strain Dakar, Senegal genome assembly, scaffold: SCTD_scaffold0000119
AUUCAGCUGACGAGUCCCAAAAUAGGACGAAACGUGUGUCCGGCAU